UAAUCUAAUUACCUAAACCUAAACUAACAACAAUAAUGUGAAAAGAUUCACAAAUGCAGAACGGGCCUGGAAAGGGAUUAGGCCCGAACGCAUGGGGGUUUAAUGGUUCGUGGAGGGUGUACACAAAGCAAACUCAGUCUGAGCCUUAAUUGGCGGCCCAAAGUACGCACAACAAGGGACAAAAGGUCAACAACACCUUCUGCAUUUGUCACUCUCAGCAACACGCAAGAUGGAACAAUGGAGGAAUGCCGACGUUCAAAGCUUUUCCGCGCCAAAACUCUUCUUCGGCGGCGGUGGAGUACAACCAGCGCCCUAAUCGCUCCCUCACACCUCAAUCUAGAUGCCUUGGAUCUCAUCUGAUCAACCAAAUUGGAGCCAAAAAGGAUCUACCGAUCCUAAACUCGGAUUCGAAAAUAAAACGAAAAAGAAGAGUGAUCUGGAGUCCAAAUCGCAGGGACUUGACUUCUUAAACCAACAGCUACAUCGCAACGAGAAGAUUUACAAAGAGGAAUGAAAUCUAACUAACCUUCGAAGACGAGGAAUUCCUCGAUUACCGACGAACUCGAGAAGACGAAGGAAUGUAAGAAAUCUUCAGGAUAAUCGGCACGUUGAUGAAAAUGGACGCGGGAUUGUGGAGGCACGGGGAAUGAGGAGUUCUUCAGAUGGAUUUACGAAGAAGAUACUCGAAGCCGGUUAUCUCUUUUGCGAGUUCAAGAAGAAGAUUAAAGGUGAGGUUGAAGGUUGUUUGAGCGUGGUGAAGGUUGAGAAAGAACAAUUAUGGGAGAUUGAAGUAAGAAGAAGAUUCAGUUAGAGGAAAGGAGGAAGAGAGAGGAAAAAGUUCUGGAAAUUUUUUGAGAGCCCCAUCUUCACUGCUUAAACAUGUAUUUAUAGAAAACUCUUUCUGCGUUUUCGAUUUGUUUGGAGUCGUUUGAGUUGUGACUUCAUCUUGUUGUGUUUUGAAGCGACGUGUCAUAACUUUGUGUUAGUUAUUAUGCUAUUCUACGCACUGUUCACGCCACUUUGGAUUAGUUGUGGCGCUUCUGGUAAGUUGUGUUUUGAAUUCAUUAAUUAUGCAGCUAGCCAUUGCCUUGCCGUUUUGCAGCUUAUUUCUUUUGGUAGCUUAUUUCUUUUGGUAGCUAGUUGGCUUACGCAACUCAUGUUUGGAAACUGCGCUUGUUUGGAGUUGGUGAGCUGCAUUUUUUUUCGGAAUCUCUGCGUUUGUCUUGUUUCUUUUUGGAUUGCGCAUUUUGCAGCUGAUAUUUGCAUGGUCGUUUGGAGCUUGUUGGCUUUGUUAGCAGCUUUUGGAGUUGUACUGUUAUUGGCUUAUUAUGCGCUUUUGGCUUUGAUGCGCUUUCGAUUUAAUGUAGAAGCUUCUGUAGUAGCUGGAAGUAAUUUGGCUUGGAAGUUGUUUACGCAGGCUGGCUUGAGCUGUGUCUUGCUUGCGUUUUGAAUCUCGUUGCCGUUUUGCAUUUCACAUUUCAUCGUUUCAUGUUGCACUCGGUUGUUUCCGUUGUUGCAUGUGCAACUGCGUUUGGCUCAUGGAUGGUGAGUUCUUGUUUAUUUAGCAGCUCGCAUUGGCUUUGUAGCAUGUUGGAAGUGUUAGCUGCAACUUCGGCUUGAGUUGUUGUCGUGUUUUGCGCGUUGGCUUUUAGCAUAGCUUGUAGCAGUUGCAACUUAUUGGCUUGGGCUUUGUAACUUUUUUAAUGUGCUAAGUAUCAGUUUAUGAGUUUGCAGUUUUCUUGCUUUA